rnacentral:rRNA from 1 species
CCCUUAGAUGUUCUGGGCCGCACGCGCGCUACACUGACGCAUUCAACGAGUCUCCUUGGCCGAGAGGCCUGGGUAAUCUUGUGAACGUGCGUCGUGAUAGGGAUAGAUUAUUGCAAUUAUUAAUCUUGAACGAGGAAUUCCUAGUAAACGCAGAUCAUCAAUCUGCAUUGAUUACGUCCCUGCCCUUUGUACACACCGCCCGUCGCACCUACCGAUUGGAUGGUCCGGUGAAGCCUCGGGAUUGUGGCCGGUGCAUUCAUUUGUGUCGGCUGCGAGAACUUGUCUAAACCUUAUCAUCUAGAGGAAGGUGAAGUCGUAACA